rfam:Stegodyphus mimosarum contig94984, whole genome shotgun sequence.
GCUUUCGUGGUGUAAUGGUCAGCACACUCGGCGCGUAUUCGAGAGGCCCGAGGUUCGAGUUCCGGCGAGAGAA